rnacentral:lncRNA from 1 species
CUAGCUAUAGGAUUUGCUUGUUUGGAUGUGGCUAUCUUUAUUUAAUGCCUUGAUCUUCACGAUGUCUGAUAUUUUUCAUUGCUUAUUGAUGAUUGCUUGAUUAAAGUCCAAAGGGAAAGUGGGUUUUCUAUAUGGCAUCUUGUCUGUUGCAUUGCAUCCCAUUGGUGAGAUCUUUUCAACUCUUAACUUUUAAUUUGUGCUUAGGAUAGC